rnacentral:lncRNA from 1 species
GCCCAUUUCUUCGGUCUGUGUCUGACGAUGAAGGUUUUUUUAACUGUGCCUAAAGGUUUUUUUCAUGGGUAUAUCAUCAACUAGGAUGGAUCCAGAGCCGUCACGAAGAGUUUUGAGGAGCAGCUCCAAUCGAAACUCUGGUGCUAACAGCAGGGAACGCUCAGUGGAUCUGAUAACCAUCGAGGACCAUGUUGACAGAAGUAAUGCGGACUCAGUAUAUUUCUUACGAUGGUUUUACAAUCCUGAUGAUAAUGACUAUGCUGAAUUAGAUGAUACUGAAGAUGACUACGAUGAUACAGAAGGAGACGAUGAUGACAGUUAUGAUGACAUGGUCAAUAUCCAUUUUGAUGGGAUCCCAAUGCGUAGAUCCAUUCCUCAUCCUCGUACCGAUUUGAAACCGAAUACCACCAAAUUGAAGAAUAGUGACUUCUAUUUGUUGAUGCAACAAAAUGCUGGACUCCGGCACAACAAAGCCAAAGAGAGGCCUAACAGUGUUCUACAGAUGAUUCAAGCCAGACAGGUCAGUCUUGUUCUCUUAACCAAAACAUUAUUGUAAUCUAUCUCAAAUGAUUUCACCCUUUUCAUCUGCUCGCACUCAAAGCAAUGAAGGUAUCUUUGGAGCAGAUGAAUGCGAAUGCGGUCCCUUUUAUGUCACCAUUUAUUUAAAAUCCCUUCAUUCAUUGAGGUGAAGACCCAUAGGUUUAUGCAUCAUUGAUGUCACCAAUGUAUAAACUUAGACUAUGAAUCUAUGACAAAGUAUGAAAACAUGGAUAAAUCUUUUCAUCAGUGUCAGUGCCAAACUGUAAAUGAAUCCGUCAGUGUAUAUAUAUAUAUAUAUAUAUUCUAUGUAAAGACGUUUAUAGCCUGUGACGCUGAAUGUCCCAAAAUAUACUAACUAACUAUAUAUUUAUAUAAAUAUAAAUGAGAACUGUUUUAUGGUUGUUAAAAUACAUAUGGAUAGGGUUUUAAAUGAGAUGCACAACCUUUACACAUAUAACUUAAAUAGAGGUUAUGUUUACGUUCCGCGCGCGACUGUUUCGACUCCCGAAAUAUCAAGUUUUUUCCCUGGAAAACGACAGAAAUUAUAUGAUUGUGAUACGUGAAAAAGUUCGUUAAAAAUUGAUCUUCAAGCGCAUGAUAUUUCUCCGGCAAUCCGGUGUAGUGUGGAGGAGUAGUGAAUGGAAUUAAGUGUGUUACCAGUGCAUGGAACAUUCUAGAACCUCAACCACGGCAAUCAGCUGUUUCUCGAAAGCUUUCCAAGCAUGCGUAUGGAAAUACUUGUCGCGGCCGUGUUUUGGUAAAGUGCCGAACUCAAUCUUGAUAACAGUACGCGACCGAUGCAGUGCGGACAUCGCGGCUGUCAAUAACCUGGCGCGAUCGGGUGGUGAAAAGCUGAAACUCAAGGUAAAUAAACAAUUGGAGUGAUCUUGCGUUCUUCGCCCGCGAAUGUUUGUAAUCAGGACUGUUAGUUAGAGGAGUGCCGCGCGAGUCCCAACCAGUCAGAAAGUCGAUACUUAACAUACUAACUUGAACAUUGUAGAGCAAAUUAGUGAUCAGGAUGAACAUGGAAGAAAUGAAAGCCCUGCUGGUCCAGAUGCGGGAAGAAAUUAAAGGAGAUGUGGAGCAGAUUGUAAAAAAAGAAAUUGCUCAAAUUCAUGAAGAAAACACCAAACGUUACGAGGAACUAAAGAGUGAAAACCAACAAUUAAAAGUAGCACUAGCUAAGCAUUGUGAAACCAUCAGCAAAAUGAAUCGGUUGAACAAUGUAGUACUCCAUGGCAUGCCUGAGGGGGAACGAGAACAACGAAAUGAGCUGGAAAAUAAAGUG